GAAAUGCGAUACGUAAUGUGAAUUGCAGAAUUCAGUGAAUCAUCGAAUCUUUGAACGCAACUUGCGCUCUCUGGUAUUCCGGAGAGCAUGCCUGUUUGAGUGUCAUGAAAUCUCAACCAUUAGGGUUUCUUAAUGGCUUGGAUUUGGAGGUUUGCCAGUCUAACUGGCUCCUCUUAAAGGAGUUAGCAAGUUUGACUAUUGCUAUCUGGCGUAAUAAGUUUCGCUGGAAUGGUAUUGUGAAGCGUGCUUCUAAUCGUCUUUGGACAAUUACUUUGACUCUGGCCUCAAAUCAGGUAGGACUACCCGCUGAACUUAA
rnacentral:misc_RNA from 1 species